AGAUAAUCGAUGUUAUGGCUGAUCGGUGUACACAGUACAAUAGAAAUGUACUUGCCCUGCGAUGGACUGAUAUUGUGGAUCCACCCUGACCCUGACCAGGAUAAAUCUGUUACUGAAAAUGAGUGGGUGAAAUGGCCUCCUCCUCCUCCUCCAACUCUCUUCAUGGUGAACUGUCACAGUUUAUAGAGAGACACAGGUGAAAGGCAUUAUUGUGUUGGACACUGAGUGGUGUUGCGGUGAGUGGAGCUCUUAUCAGCGUGCAAGCAAACUGAAUGGGUUAUGACACAUUUCUAUGUGUGUAUAAGUGUUUAGUGCUUUAAAUAUGUAAGAUGAAUUUUGUUGUACUUAGAACCAGCAAAAUGUAU
ensembl:lncRNA